GCGGAAAUGCUGGAAUUGGCAGACAGGCAUGACUAAGGAUCAUGUGUACCAAGUACGUGAGGGUUCAAGUCCCUUUUUCCGCA
rnacentral:tRNA from 1 species